CCCCAUCCUCUUAAUUAAUUUUAAAUUACUUUUAGUUAAAUCUAUCUACUUAUUUAUAUUUUAAAAGGAGACCCUUAUCUUAUCCCAGCCUCCCGGAUCUGAUUUAUCGUUCCGUAACACCCGAGCGAGGAUCCUCACGCGAUAUUUGUUUUGGUUUAAAAAUUAAAGGAGAGUAGAAAACCGGAGGAAACCCUAUCUCUUCUCGUGUCGUGUGGUGACCUUGGCGGCAGGCUCUUGAUAUUUUGUUCCUCGUUGAAUUUUGUGACGAAAGAUCCAAGGGCAUCCUUCGAGUGCUUGAUUUUGGAUAAUCUGAUUUGGAGUCUUGGAGUUGUGAGACAUUUAGAUCAGGAGUAGAGGUCAGUGAUGGAUAGCUUAGCAGGGAUCGUUGGGCCACCGUCAAUCUUCUUAGCAUGUAAUAAGUCCCGUUGUUGUGGGC